rnacentral:rRNA from 1 species
UACGGAGGGUGCAAGCAUUAAUCGGAAUUAUUGGGCGUAAAGGGCGCGUAGGCGGAUUUGUAAGUCAGAUGUGAAAUUCCGAAGCUCAACUUCGGAGCUGCAUUUGAAACUGUAAGUCUAGAGGGAUGACGGAGAAAAUGGAAUUCCACGUGUAGCGGUGAAAUGCGUAGAUAUGUGGAAGAACACCUGUGGCGAAAGCGAUUUUCUAGUUUUUACCUGACGCUGAGGCGCGAGAGCAAGGGGAGCAAACAGG